UGGUGGGGUGACCCGUCUGGUUAAUUUCGAUAACGAACGAGAUCCGAGCUGUUUAGUUGGCUGUGCCUGUUUUACAGGUAUAUGUCUCCUAUAUGGACUGUCAGUUUGAGGCUGAAGGAAGUUUCGGGCUAAAUCA
rnacentral:rRNA from 1 species